CGUUAGAGCAAUGUGUCUUUGCCAGUUUUCACACCCGGGUAUUUUUCUAGCAUUUAACACUAUUGCAAGGUGUCUGUACUCAGUCGCUGCAGAAAACAUUCAC